CACACACACACACGCACGCACGCACACGCACUCCACACACACAAUGGGCAUGGGGAAUGGGCAUGCGCACACGAUAAGGCCACCAAUUUUAAGAAUAUUCUAGAAGGGAAACGGCGGGAAAACAGUUGUGAGCUCUGCUACAGCUACAACAGCAGUUGUGAAAACAAAUCAACCAGCAAAAGAUCUAGUGUUACAGAGAGAGACACAAGCUAGCCCCCAAGUUUUACGACUUUGAACCCAGAAAGGGGUUCACACACACACACACACACACACACACACACACACACACACACACACACACACAUACACACACACACAUAUGGCAUGACAUUGCAAUAGAUGGAGUUUUAGAAUUAAAGUUCUGGGAACGCGCAAGUGCGCAUGUGCGCACGCAGCUACGACCCCAAUGUUGUAGAAAAAUAAAAAAUAAAAUCUGUAAAAUAGCUUUAAAAUAGUAGAUGUAAUGUAAAUAGAUGCGAGCUAACCCCCUCCCCAAAAUGGAUGAGAAAGUAAUAAAUCAUCUUCAGCAUCUUCUUUGUUUUCUGGGUAUAAAACACCUAAACCUCUUUGACGGGACACAAAGGCAUGGAACGUACGGUUGACGAAGAUGGAGCAUGGUAUGGAGCUUUAACUUUGACUUUUGUCUUUCUACCAAAAAAGUGAACUAUAGUAUUUAUUUUAUUUUAGAAAAUAACAUUUCAUCCGAGGUUCAGCCUAUUACUUCUCCUUCUGACCAACAAGUCCUAUUUCCCGUGACUCCUGAAGAGUUUGAGGGCAUCGAUUCCACACAAACAGACCCCGACUUUCAUAUAUAGAUCUUCUAGACGGAGCGACGCUGCUGCAGAGUGUUAGAACGCCUGUAUCUAACUAUCUAUUAGAUGGUGAUGCAGGAAGCACUCUGAGCACUCCUCCAGCAACGACUCAUCCCCGUGCAAACCGUCUGCGAUUAGGACGACGCAACCGCCCUACUUUUGCAGGAAAUUCUGCCGCCACUACAACUGGAGCAUCGGAGCCCAGGCCUUCAGUUUCUCCUCUCGGGAGUCCUGUGUCAGAGCUACCUAGACCAAAAAAACCCUACGUCCAUUAUAAAGUUGUGGAACAAAGGAGCUGUGGGACCGAAACCCUGGAGCCAGCAGUACAGCCGACGCGGGAAGGCCGGUGCUGUGAGACUGGAUCCGCAGAGCCUGAAGCACAGAGCUGUGAAACACGAUCCGUGGAGCCAGCAGUGCAGCCUGCGAGGGAGGGAGUCGCCUUACACCCACUGAGUGCGGACGAACGUGAGAGACUUGAAAGCUUUUACCUGCUUUAUGAGAUUGCUGAUUUCAUUAAGAAACCGGACGAUCGUGAGACACUGCAAAGGUUGGACGUGCUUUGUGAAAUUGCUGAUUUCAGGAGGAAAAAGUCCUAAACGUGUGGUGUGACAUUUAAAAUAAACUAAAAAUGGAUGAAGAAAACUUUUCUUUUGGUCUGUCUGAUUUAGAGUUUAUGGUUGAGCAAUUGAAUCAAAUCUCCCCACCUCCUCCUGUAGAUGUAGCCGUUGCUAAUGUGG